GAUGAACGCUAGCGGCAGGCCUAACACAUGCAAGUCGAGGGAGAAGCCCUUCGGGGCAGAAACCGGCGCACGGGUGCGUAACGCGUAUGCAACCUACCUUUCACAGGGGGAUAGCCCGAAGAAAUUUGGAUUAAUACCCCAUAAUAUUAUUGGAUGGCAUCAUUUGAUAAUUAAAACUGAGGUGGUGAAAGAUGGGCAUGCGUCCUAUUAGCUAGUUGGAGUGGUAACGGCACCCCAAGGCUACGAUAGGUAGGGGUCCUGAGAGGGAGAUCCCCCACACGGGUACUGAGACAGGGACCAGACUCCUACGGGAGGCAGCAGUGAGGAAUAUUGGUCAAUGGUCGGAAGACUGAACCAGCCAUGCCGCGUGCAGGAAGAAUGCCUUAUGGGUUGUAAACUGCUUUUAUAUGGGAAGAAUAAGGAGUACGUGUACUUUGANGACGNUNCCA
rnacentral:rRNA from 1 species